rnacentral:tRNA from 1 species
AGCAGCUAAGCGCUUGAGCUGAAACACAUAAGCCGGGCAUCAUAAUCCUUGUGUCGGGGGUUCAAAUCCCUCCCUCGCUACCA